GGCUGGGCUUUUGAUCCACCAAAAAAUAAAAAUAAGGCAUGCUUUUAAUUAACUAAAGCAUAAUAAUUACACAAGAUAUUGGAACUGCAAGUUAAGAUCAAGAAGCGCGACGAGUGCGGGAGGCAUAGAGACGAGGCCUUGCGUGAGAAGGAACAAAUUUCCAGAGCCAAUGAUCGAGAUGGUCGCAGCGAAAUUGGCCGAAUUGCAAAUAGAACAGAAGACGAGGCUUUGCAGUAGAAGGAUGAGAUGAAGAAUCAAUUGGACGACUUCGUUCUGGAGAAGGAUAGGGGAUUGCCAGAGGUUGAAUAAGUAUAUGGGGGUUGUCGGCGGUGGCUUAUGGGUUACAAAAGAGGACGAAUGAGAUUGUGGAAGUUAGAUAAAUUGAAGCCACUACCAAGUCUAGGAACGAAACUAGGGAGCAGAUGGAUCAGAGGAACUAUGAGAUUUCGCAGUUGGAUGUCCAUUCCUUAUGUGCAAGGAAUUGCCAUGGAAGGUCAGCCACUGGCCUGCAAGACCUCCCUAAUUGAGUGGGAAGGACCUAUGGAGACCACAUAUCUUCAAGAAGAAAUCGAUGAAGUCCGUGAUGAGUGGGCAGAAUUCGUUAGACUCCUCAGUUUUAUGGUUUAACUACAUACCUAGUGAAACUUCUUUAAUUUGUUGCAAAAUUUACCUUUUCCUCUAUAUGAGAGCUAAAUACGUUUAUGACAGCUAGUACUAUUUACGUUUCUUUUACUUUUGUAAACUUCACUAAAAAAAAUUCAACUGAGAAAGCAUAGUAAAUGUGAUUA